rnacentral:ncRNA from 8 species
CGGGUGGAUCACGAUGCAAUUUU